rnacentral:rRNA from 1 species
CAGCCGUAAACAAUGUGCGUUAGGUGUGUCGGUAGCCACGCGUUACUGAUGCGCCGAAGAGAAAUCGUGAAACGCACCACCUGGGAAGUACGGUCGCAAGGCUGAAACUUAAAGGAAUUGGCGGGGGAGCACCACAACAGGUGGAGCCUGCGGUUUAAUUGGAUUCAACGCCGGACAUCUCACCGGAUAAGACAGCUGAAUGAUUGUCAAUCUGAAGGUUUUACAUGACUAGCUGAGAGGAGGUGCAUGGCGUCAGUGACU